UUCCUCACAGGUUAGUUAAUGACAGACAGUCAGUGAGUGUGUCUGUGUCCAACUCUUCCUCACAGGUUAGUUAAUGACAGACAGUCAGUGAGUGUGUCUGUGUCCAACUCUUCCUCACAGGUUAGUUAAUGACAGACAGUCAGUGAGUGUGUCUGUGUCCAACUCUUCCUCACAGGUUAGUUAAUGACAGACAGUCAGUGAGUGUGUCUGUGUCCAACUCUUCCUCACAGGUUAGUUAAUGACAGACAGUCAGUGAGUGUGUCUGUGUCCAACUCUUCCUCACAGGUUAGUUAAUGAUGUUACUGAGUCAAUGUGAGCAGAUUGUGUCUGUAGAUUGAAGAGAAUCAGAGUCUCACUGAUGGUGGAAAUAAAGGUUUUACUUCCUUAAAACA